AGGCGGAGCUUUGGCGGGCACGCCCCGGGCGCAGGCGCGUUCGCCCGGCACGGCGGUCCCGUGGGCUGUGUCGGCUGGGUCUGCAAUUGGCACAGGUGCUUCCCUAUGCUGGGGUGGCAUGGAAAGGCUGCUAGCAAGAUUCAGAGCAUUGGCCACCUGCAGCCACCAGCUUUCCGGGUACAUCCCUUGCAGGUUUCACCACUGUGCCCCAGGGAGAGGGAAGCGCUUGAUGUUGUCCCGAGUGUUCCAGCCCCAGAACCUUCGGGAAGACCAGGUCCUCUCCCUGGAGGGCAAGUCUGGUGACCUGACCUGUAAGAGCCAGAGGCUGAUGCUACAGGUGGGCCUGAUCCACCCCGCAAGCUCCGGGUGUUACCACCUCCUGCCUUAUACUGUUCGUGCUAUGGAGAAGCUGGUGCGAGUGAUAGACCAGGAGAUGCAGGCCAUUGGGGGACAGAAGGUCAACAUGCCCAGUCUCAGCCCUGCAGAGCUCUGGCGAGCCACCAACCGGUGGGACUUGAUGGGCAAGGAGCUGCUAAAACUUAGAGACAGACACGGCAAGGAAUACUGCUUAGGACCAACUCACGAGGAAGCCAUUACAGCCCUGGUCGCGUCCCAGAAGACACUGUCCUACAAGCAGCUUCCGUUCCUGUUGUACCAGGUGACAAGAAAGUUUCGGGAUGAGCCCAGGCCCCGCUUUGGUCUUCUCCGUGGCCGAGAGUUUUACAUGAAGGACAUGUAUACCUUUGACUCCUCCCCAGAGGCCGCCCGGCAGACCUACAGCCUCGUGUGUGAUGCCUACAACAGCCUUUUUGACAGACUGGGGCUGCAAUGUGUCAAGGUCCAGGCAGACGUGGGUAGCAUCGGGGGCAUGAUGUCUCAUGAGUUCCAGCUACCAAUGGAUGUUGGAGAAGACCAGUUUGCAGUCUGUCCCAGCUGCAGCUUCUCAGCCAACAUGGAGACACUAGACUUGUCACAAAGGAACUGCCCUGCUUGCCAGGGACCACUGACUAAAACCAAAGGCAUUGAAGUGGGGCACACAUUUUACCUGGGCACCAAGUACUCCUCCAUUUUCAAUGCCCAGUUUAUCAACGUCCAUGGCAAACCAUCCUUGGCUGAAAUGGGGUGCUAUGGCUUGGGCGUGACACGGAUCUUGGCUGCUGCCAUCGAGGUUCUCUCUACAGAAGACUGCAUCCGCUGGCCUGGACUUCUGGCCCCUUACCAAGUCUGCCUCAUCCCACCGAAGAAGGGCAGUAAGGAGGCGGUAGCCGCAGAGCUCACGGGGCACCUGUACGACCACAUCACAGAGGCGGUGCCGCCGCUUCGCGGGGAGGUCCUGUUAGACGACAGGACCCAUCUGACAAUUGGAAACAGACUGAAAGACGCCAACAAGUUUGGCUACCCCUUUGUGAUCAUCACUGGCAAGAGGGCCCUGGAGGACCCUGCGCAUUUUGAGGUGUGGUGCCAGAACACUGGCGAGGUGGUCUUUCUCACCAAGGAAGGAGUCAUAGAAUUACUGAGCCAAGUGCAGGUUGUCUAAGCGCCCCCAGCCCACCCCACCCCCUCUUGCAGCCUUGGAGUUCACUCUAACACUGCCUUUGCCUUCACUCCUUUCUGGGGCUGGUCUCCCCAGAACCAGGGCAGUUCAUGGAAGAUACCAGGAUAGCAGGCUUCGAGUGCCACAGUGACUGUGUCCUGAGUUGGAUCCUAGAGCCACAACCGGGUGAAUAUUAAGUUCUCUGCCUGCAUUAUGUGGCAAAUUAGGAGCAGACUUGAGCCACUACUGCAGUGCUACCUGCUUUCAUUGCUCGUGCUCCCUAGAUUAGGGCCUUGGACAUGCCCAAAUCUAACAAGGAUAUGUCAAGGGCAAGCUCAAGGCCACCACCUCCUGAAAAUAUGCCUGACAGCUCCUGGAAGUGGUUUUUCCCCAGCACUCUCCCGGUCAGCCUUGAGGGUGUUCCUUCUUGUUCGGGGCAGCUCCUUGUUUGGUGGCCAGCCUCUUUAGUUGAUGGUCAGCACCCUGUGGCCAGGGUCCUAGGCUGAUUCCUAGUCUACUGCAGUUCUGUCUUGGCCAAUUGUUCCAGUUGCUACGCAGCUUCCCAGCAGCUUAUUACUGCUACUGCUGUUACAGCUUGAGUAACUCCACCCCAAGCACACACCAUCAGGUACCCUAAUUAAUGCAUAUACCAAGCCAUAAUGACUCCCAGGCUUACCACUGGAGCUUGGGGGCCCAGCAUUCAGGCCAGGAGAUGCAGCUUCUGAGAGAAGACCUAGAAAGGCUGGACUGUAAGGCAGGGGAGUUUACCCGUGGCUGCACGUUGGAAUCACCUGGUUCCCACCCACAGGUUCUGGUUAUGGACAGGGGUGUGGCUGCGUAUCAGGAAUUUUAAAGUUCCUCAGAUGAUUCUAACGUGCAAAGUCUAUUGAGAGCUCCUAGUGUGUGGGUAGCUGCCUUCUCUGAGCCCACCUUGUAGUUGAGCGUUUCUUUGAGUGAGUAAUUUUUGUUGUAUAUUAUCAGACUGAUGUGAGCUCUCAGCUUUUAAUGGUCUGAUCAUUUAUUUGUUGGGGGCCUGCCACAUGCCACUGUGUUGUGAUGCCCUUUUUUACACCCUUUCAGACCUUGAAAUUGUACAGGAGGUGCUGUUACUCUCAUUUUACCAAUGAGCAACUUAAGGAUGCACAGCUCUUAAGUAUCAGAGCUAGAAUCCAAGUAUUGGCCAAAACCUGCCCUCCCCACUACAAUGCAUGGCCUCUUACUAUGCGAGUGAUUUCAGUAAGUAAAACUGAAUUAUUUAUGUCUAUCUAAUUAAGUUAGCCUUAACUAAUGAGAAAUUAGAAUUCGUGCAUAUGGGUGCAUAUACUUUUUUUUUUUUUAAGUUUGUGCUCUAUAAUCUUAUUUUUGGAACGUUAGCCAAAUGUAAGAACUUUUAAAAACCACCCAAUUAAUUUUAAACUCUUCACAGAUGUGCAAGUUAUAGAAUGAUUUGGGGAUGAUGCAGAAUCAUGGAACUUUAGAAUGGGAGGAGAACUUGGAGCCUGCCUGUGCAGCCCUCACUUCACAGAUGGGAAACAGGCCUGGAGUGGGAAUUAACCUGCCAUGUACCAUCUGACUGACAAAAGGCCUGAUUGCAGGCCAGGUGCUACAUCCCCUAAAUUAGGCUGCUUCCUGUCGAUCUUGUAUUGAGAGGUCAGGCUAAAUCAGUCUUUGAACUACAGAAGCCUCUACAUAUGAAACAGGUACCCAUCCUCUAUUUUCCAAGAGAAACAAAUACAGAGUACAAGAAAUCUAGGUGUUCUGAUUGCCAAGCCAGUGUUUGUUCUAGUAGCCAAGAUCAGUGUAAUUUGGUGGAAAGAUCAGAACCUUAAAGAGACCUAAUCCUAGAUCCACCUCUUACCAGGGAUGUCUCCUUAGAUAAAUUACCUGACCUUUGUGCAUUUCACAUUCUUUAUCUGUAAGAUGCACUCAUGAUAAUGGUACUUACCUCCCAGGGUUGUCUGGACGUUGGCUGAGCUUAUAUGUUAUGCUUAACUCUUGCUAUGCUCUCAGGGAACACUUCCUUAAUACUAGGUGACUUAGAAAAUGCCCAUUGGGAGCUCAGGUUCUCCUGUUAAUUUUAUCUUCCUUAGAUGCUUUACAACCUUCCUGGGAAAUGCCACCAGCAAGAACUAAAUAAUGCCUGCAGAAUGGUUCCAUCUCCUUAGAGGCAAGAUGGACAUACUCAAAAUAAACUUUCCCCUUCCUAAA